rnacentral:rRNA from 1 species
CGGCCUUGAAAUACCACCCUUUAAUGUUUGAUGUUCUAACGUGGACCCGUGAUCCGGGUUGCGGACAGUGUCUGGUGGGUAGUUUGACUGGGGCGGUCUCCUCCUAAAGAGUAACGGAGGAGCACGAAGGUUGGCUAAUCCUGGUCGGACAUCAGGAGGUUAGUGCAAUGGCAUAAGCCAGCUUGACUGCGAGCGUGACGGCGCGAGCAGGUGCGAAAGCAGGUCAUAGUGAUCCGGUGGUUCUGAAUGGAAGGGCCAUCGCUCAACGGAUAAAAGGUACUCCGGGGAUAACAGGCUGAUACCGCCCAAGAGUUCAUAUCGACGGCGGUGUUUGGCACCUCGAUGUCGGCUCAUCACAUCCUGGGGCUGAAGUAGGUCCCAAGGGUAUGGCUGUUCGCCAUUUAAAGUGGUACGCGAGCUGGGUUUAGAACGUCGUGAGACAGUUCGGUCCCUAUCUGCCGUGGGCGCUGGAGAACUGAGGGGGGCUGCUCCUAGUACGAGAGGACCGGAGUGGACGCAUCACUGGUGUUCGGGUUGUCA